UUCGUCUAUUAGGUUUAACACAUCUCGAGAGCGUAACCUUCACUGUCUUUUGUGCACAAGAGAUAUAAGUAUAUCUUCAUUAGUUUUUCGAUGGAUAACAGAAUAAAAGAUAUAUUCAUUGUAAAGUGUAUAUAAUUAAUGUACAAACAAUGUGUAAGUUAUGUAGAUACCCGUAAUUUCAAAGUUCAAGAUGCUUAUAAAAUACAAGGUUUUACUCUUCAAGGUUUUAAAGAUCGAGCGACCGAGGUCAACAACUACGCGUCACGAUUAACGAAAACCAAAAUGAAAGUUUCAAAUAAGAAAAGCUCGAGUCGUUUGUUUCCUUGUACAAAGGAGAUUCGAAUAUUGAUAAUUUCGUAUAUGGAUUGGAUACGUAUAAAUUUACACCUCAUGUUUUUUGUCUGAUACAACCAUAUACCAUUAAUUAUGUAAAUUAACUUAUAAUAUAUACAUUGUUUUAAAUGAAGCAAUAGUCUUGGAUUAAAUUAAACCAGACAAAAGGAUACUAUAUUGUUAAAAAAAUUAGUAAUUUAAAUAUUAAUUACAUAUUAAUUAUUUAUAUUAUUUAUAGUAUUUUAUCAUUAUUAAAUAUUCGGAGUUUUCGUUGAUAAAAAUAAGCAUAUAAAAAAUACUAAAUUUAAUUAUGACAGCUUCUCGUGUGUCAUACGCUAUACAUAUAUGACAUAUAUAGAGACGAAGAUAAUGUUUUCCGUAAAUCUCACCGGGGAAAACCCAUUAAUUACAUAUGCAUUGUAGUAGACUUAUUACUUUCAACAUGACUAAUAAUAGCAUGUAAACGUAAUGGAAAUAACGAUUUAAUAAUAAUUAGAAUCACGUUUACUACAUUGCGUAGUUACAGUGAUCAGUAUUAUCAUAUGAUAUCGUACUAUCGCUGUCAACGGUAUUUAUCGAUAGACAAAUUGCCUUUGUUUCGUAACACAUUUUAUGAAUGUGACAAAUAUAAUUGUUUUUCUAACGUAAUCACGAUUAUCUUGAUUUUAUGUAAAUUUUACAAUUGUCAAUAUAGAUUAUUAUGUAAAUAUUUUUUAAGCAUAUUUGUAUAAUAAAUAUUUGUAUAAUAAAUAUUUAUACAUUAAGUUAAUACUUUAUAUUUUACUAUUUCACCAAUGUACUUUUGUAAUUCUG
rnacentral:misc_RNA from 1 species